rnacentral:lncRNA from 1 species
UUCAAUCAUGAAAAAAUAAUUAGAGAUUCUAUUUAAUUAAAUUUUAACAAUUACAAAGAUCUAUGAGACCUUAUUUAAAUAUAAUUUAAUUGUGAAAGUUUUGAAGCUUCGCACAAUAACCCGGAUUGCAUACCUUCAAAGAUAAUCCUAAAUAUAGACAAACUUGAAAUAGCAAGAUAAUUGUAACAUAAACAAACUUGACAAUAUUAAUCUUAUUAUUCUCCUUUUGCAUGUAUCAAGAAGAAUAUAAUUUUAUUAUUUUAUAAUAUAUAUAAAAAGCUCAUGGUUUCCUUUUUCUUUUUCUUUGAAUGGGAGCUAAUGCUUAUGGAGUUUUAGUCCUUAUGGAGUUUUAAAAAUCAAUUCCUAAAAUAAAUCAUUUAUUAAAUGUAUCAUGAAUACAUUCAUUUGCUGAUUUUUGUCUCUUCAACGCACUUAGCUUGACACUUCCAUAAAAUACUUACUAAUCAUAAGAAUUCUUUCUUUUUUUUAACACACAUGUACACCUGCCCACACUACACCUCGGUUUAAUACACCUGCCCACACUACACCACGGUGUAGAAGGAAGUGGGCAAUAAUCUUUUGGACAAUCAGAAUUUUCAAAACAUUUAGGAGCAGCUGUAACGAAAAAAGAAAAUAAAAAAAUAUAAAUAUAAUGUCAUAAAAUAUUGGGUAGGAAGUAAAUAGGCAAUAAUCUUUUGGACAAUCAGAAUUUUCAAAACAUUUAGGAGCAGCUGUAACGAAAAAAGAAAAUAAAAAAAUAUAAAUAUAAUGUCAUAAAAUAUUGGGUAGGAAGUAAAUAAAGAAAUUUGAUCAAAAGGAUAGAAAAAAAUACUUACCAUCAGCGUUCAUUGCAACAAGAAGUAUGAAAAGAAAGAUAAACAUAACACAAACAAACUUGACAAUUUCACCCAUAUUUCACCCCUUUGUAUGUAUAAACUAGAAUAUGAUUUUAUCACUUUAUAAGCUAAAAAGUUUAGCCCUUAUAGAGUUGUAAGCUUUUAAAAAAAAAAGAUAUAUUAUAAUUAAAUGCUUCUUAAGUACAUCAAAGUGUUGUAUUUGUC